GAACAGCCCCUGCCCGUGAGGGAGGCCCCAGAGCCAGGCAAUGCUCAGAAUGCCAUCGGCUGAGGGAGCCACAGGGGCUGCUGCUGGGGGAGGGAGAAACCCAAAGAGAGCAUUCCACGCACUGAAAGAUAAUAUCUCUGCCCUCCUUCUUCCUUUGCUCCCCCAAGGAUGUUGUUUCUGGCAGUACUGUUGUCUCGGGGCUGGGAGGUGGUUUCUGACUCUCUCAGCAAACAAGCAGCAUAUCUCGUCCUCACUGUCUGCCUGGGCCACCUCCUGGGCACCAUGGGGCAGAUCGUUGUCACCCAGGAAGAUGGAGAAGUCCUGGUGAAGCAGAAAGGCCUCUUCCAGACCACCUGUACAUACCAGACCAAUUACUUCAAUGGAUUGUUGUGGUACCAGCAGAGGAAAGGACAAGCCCCACAGCUGCUCUCGUCUCAGGCGGGGGCCGGCCAGAGGCAGAGCGGCCGUAUCAGCACGGAGCUGAACACCACGGGGAAAUACAGUGUCCUGCAGGUGGAGGAAGUGGAGGUCUCUGACAGUGCUUUGUACCUCUGUGCUGUGCGAGACACCCUGGUGCAGGGAGCUCCCUGGGCUGUGCAACAAGCCAGGGGAGGGAGGGGAUGUGUCUGUGCAAGGCUGAGCUUGGGGAAAGGGACCCUCCGCUGUCCCCUGGCAGCGCUGCUUCCCCUGUACACCCAGAGAUCUGCAGGCUGAGCCCCUCUUCCAGGAGAGGAGAGUGUCAGUGGUCGAGGGGAAGGAGAAAGAGGUGAAACAAUUUCCAGAUUGCUCAUUGUCACUUAUGGGUUCCGUGGUUCUUCUUCCCAACAUCUCCAGGGAGUUGUUGGGCAAUUCAGGAGGCUGAGACCACUUCUGCAACGAUUCCUUGUGCUGCUCUUGGCUUUCUGCUUUUCCCUGCUGCCUGUGGCUUCUCCAGGGUUUCCACUGGGCUUGUCCCUUAGAGUACCUGCUCUGGGUUGUGUCCCUCAGAGUUCCGAGUUCAAAGUAGGGUGAAAAACAUAAAUAAGACGUUAUCUGCAAUGCUCCUUCCUUGAAUUGCAUGACUCCAACAAUUUCUGAAAGUGCUCAGAAGUGCCCAAUGAAAACGUCCAGUUGCUGUGUGGCAGAGGAGAAGUGGAGGAGAGAGCAGGAAGUUGGGCUGCCUUUUAUACCUGCCCUUCACUACCACACAACCAGGGGCAGCCUCUGCAGAGCUAACAAUUUCCUCACAAGCUCAUCUUGCAUGCCAACCACCACACCGAGUGCUAUGGGCUGUGCUCUCAUGCCCUGCACUGCUGCCUUUACAUUCCCAUAU